GACUUUAACGCCAUUAAAAUGCACCGUCUCACUUUGUGAACGCCAGGUCCUCCUGCAUUGGUGCUGAGACAUUUAUAUUGAGCUUUGACUGAGAGGUUGUCAACAACCACAUCACUUUCUUCACAUCUGCCUGAUGUUUGGCAGUUACUACUGCUUCAACACAGACUACCUGGUAAAACUGCAGUCCGCACCUGAGUUCCUCCAACGGGAACAAUUGAAACACCUUUUAAAGGUGUUUCUCUUCAAUAAAUCCGGGAAGAAGAGUAAAAAAGUGUUAUUGGUCAGUCCCAGAGUCUUGACACUGAUCUCAGACCUUGCCAACCAUCAGUGGACCUACCAAUGAUGUGAUAAAAGGAGUUUCUUCUCAUCUACAGAGGCACCAAAGUUGAGUGUAAAAAGAAGAAAAUAAUCGCUGGCUUUUUCAAACUGUUACAGUUUGUAA